UGCCUACGGGAGGCAGCAGUGGGGGAUAUUGCACAAUGGGCGCAAGCCUGAUGCAGCGACGCCGCGUGGAGGAAGAAGGUUUUCGGAUUGUAAACUCCUGUCUUCAGGGACGAUAAUGACGGUACCUGAGGAGGAAGCCACGGCUAACUACGUGCCAGCAGCCGCGGUAAUACGUAGGUGGCAAGCGUUGUCCGGAAUUACUGGGUGUAAAGGGAGCGUAGGCGGGACAGCAAGUCCAGUGUGAAAUCUAUCGGCUCAACCGAUAGCUGCGCUGGCAACUGUGGUUCUUGAGUGAAGUAGAGGCA
rnacentral:rRNA from 1 species